AAUAUACUCCCUCCGUUCCUAAAUAUUUGUCUUUUUAGAGAGUUCACUACGGACUACAUAUGGAUGUAUAUAGACAUAAUUUAGAGUGUAAGUUCACUCAUUUUGCUCCGUAUGUAGUCCGUAGUUGAAUCUUUAAAAACAAAUAUUUAGGAACGGAGGGAGUAUAUU
rnacentral:pre_miRNA from 1 species